rnacentral:rRNA from 1 species
UACGUAGGGUGCGAGCGUUAAUCGGAAUUACUGGGCGUAAAGUGUGCGCAGGUGGCUGAGCAAGUCGAGUGUGAAAUCCCCGGGCUUAACUUGGGAAUUGCGCUCGAAACUACCAGUCUUGAGUGGUGGAGAGGGAAGUGGAAUUCCUGGUGUAGAGGUGAAAUUCGUAGAUAUCGGGAGGAACACCAGUGGCGAAGGCGGCUUCCUGGACACUAACUGACGCUGAGACGCGAAAGCGUGGGGAGCAAACAGG